GCCGGCAUGGCUCAAUCGGUAGAGCACCUGACUCGUAAUCAGGGGGUUGCAGGUUCGAGUCCUGCUGCCGGCCCCA
rnacentral:tRNA from 1 species